rnacentral:lncRNA from 1 species
GCCACCUGGGAUCCAAGCCACAUCUGCACAUACAUACUGUCCCUUGUUGGUGACCCUAAACUCUGUCCAUACUUUGCAAGUAAUCCUUACAUUAAACUAUCCUGAUUUACCCAGUUCGUGUGCUAUCUUUUUUGUCAGAAACCUCUAGGAGUUUUUUUACUUCACUUUUAAAAGUGGGCAUUAUCAUUAAUAACACCUAUUACACAAGAUGACUGUGAGGGCAAAUGAAUUAAUGAGGAAAGCACACAUUUUAAAGUUGUAAAGUAAUGUAGAUUGGUUGGUUGAAAAUGUUUUACAUGUUCUAUACUGUUGGGCUUCACUCGCUUGGAUAGUCACCUGGAAUAGAUAAUCAAGCCAGAGUGAAUAGAUCAAGGUGUCAUAAACUUACAUUAGGCCUGGAUCCAAAUCACAAGAAUAGAUUCUGAUUAAGGCUCUCAGAAAAACCUAAAAAGACAAGUUAAUCUGAUAACAUGGGAAAGAAAUAGUGCUCAAGCAUGGAAAAUAUCAGCUGGUUAACUAAUGCCUUAAAGCUAAGAACUUCUUGAGAAGUGGCACAUACAGUGGACUACCACUCAGCCAUAAAAAAGAAUGAAAUAAUGCCAUUUGCAGCAACAUGAAUGCAACUAGAGAUUCUCAUACUAAGUCAAGUAAGUCAGAAGCAGAAAGACAACAUGAUAUCACUUUUAUGUGGAAUUUAAAAUAUGGCACAAAUGAACUUAUCUGCAAAACAGAAACAGACUCACUGACAUAGAGAACAGACUCUUGGUUGCCAAGGAAGAGAGGGAGGGAGUGGGAUGGACUGGGAGUUUGGGUUAGUCAAUGCAAACUAUUACAUUUAGAAUGGAUAAGCAAUGAAGUAUUGCUGUAUGACACAGGGAACUUUAUCCAGUCUCUUGGGAUAAACCAUGAUGGAAGAUAAUGUAAGAAAAGGAAUGUAUAUAUAUGUAUGACUGGGUCAUUGUAAAUCGACUAUACUUUAAUAAAAAUUAAAAAUAAAAUAAAAUCACUUGGAAAAAAAAGAACAUCUUGAGUGACAAAAAGGCUCAGUAUUCUGCCACUGGGGAUGGUUGGCUUGUGUCUCUGGGUUUCUCACAUGCUGUCUCUUUAUCCAGAAUGCCCUUGUUUCCUUCUCUGCUCCUAGUUUCCACUUUGUCACCUCCUCCUAGAAGCUACCCAUGAUUCAUAAGCUGAGUUAGGGGUCCACUUUCAAUGUUGCAUUAGCCCUCUAUGAUUAUCUCCAUCUUUGCUAAUCAAAUAUAUUGGAAAUAUCUAUUAAUCUAUCUGUCUCUCAUCACUAAACUGUGAGUUCUUUCAGGAUAACACUAUGUCCAUUAUCUCUGUGUCCUUAACAGCUAACAUGGUAUCUGGUUCAUAGCACAGUUUUAACAAAUAUUUAAUAAAUUCACUGUGAGUGAAUGAAUGAAUAAUAAGUAACAUCUAAAGUUAAAUCUACAUCAUAAGUGAGUAAAUCAGUAUUUAUACAAUAAACAUCACUAUUCCCAGCAUUAAAUUUUAUCCAUUCAGGAGCUGAAAUUAACAGCCUUUAAUAGUACCCAAUAGACCUAUUCAAGGCUUUAAAACAAAAAUAAUGCAAGGGAAAUGCCAUGAUGUAAAAAUAGUUACCUAAAAUGGAACAGCCAGACAUCAGAAGCAAACAAAUGCUCAUAUGAAAUUGAAAAUCUGUAGAUCCCUGAGAGACUCCUUUUCCGCUACCUAAAUUUAAUGUGGAUAAUUUGUCAUCCUAUAAAUACAUUCCAGCUUUGGUUCAUUCGUAUGUUUUACAGCCUCUGUGUAUAUGUCAGCUCUUGGCUUUAGUGAGCGUUCAAGCUAUAAGGUUAAGUAACUUACAAAGAUUUUCUAUUAGAAUCAAGGAGGCCAAAACUCUGGGGCACAUAUUUAAUCCACAACAUUUCUUAGACAAGAGUGGCAGGAUCCUACCAGUAGUAAGCAUCCUAUGGGGAGUUCUGCAUUCUUCCCUUCCUGGUUUAUAUUUAAUGGCACAUCAACUGAGUAAGAGUUUAAAUGAAGAAGGUAAACAGAGAGCAUUAAUAACCUGAAAAAAGUAGUUAGCUAGAUAGACUGUCAUCCAUUUCUGUUAUGGCACCUGCAGGAAAUUAUGCUAAUUUUGAAAGAUAAUGCCUUGUUCUCCUUUAAUAAGACCACAACUUUUGAACUGCAAAAUUAUGUACACAACAGUAAGGAAGGAUAUUUGUAGCUACGGAGGAUCCAAGGCAUAUAUUUACAUCUCUACACAUAUAACUAAUAUUGGCCCACUGAAUAUCUUGCUAGUCACAAAACUGAACACUUUUUUUCACUGACAUGUCUUUUUUUAAUCAGUAAAGAAUUUAUUUAUGGAGCUCUUUCAAUGCCAUUCAUUUACUGAUUCAUUUUUUAUUCCUUGAUUCAUUUAGCUGACACGUUUCUGUGCAGCUACUGCAGGCCUGUUUUCCCAGUUGAAGUAAGGAGAUAAAGAGCAUGUGGUCCCUGCCAUUGUGAAGUUCAAGGUUUUAUAGGGAAGACUGAUAAAUAUGCCAAAAAUCGUUCAGUGCAAUGAACAGUAUGCUGGUGUUGUGGAGGUUACACGGUAUAGAAAUAGUCUAAUAAAGGGAGUGUCAGGAGUUGUGGUUUACUUAGAAAUCUCAGUGGAUUACUGAGCAACUUGAGAAAUAGAAUCAAAUUAUAGUCCAAACUUGUGACAUGUGAAAAAAGUAGAUUUAACAGCUCUGAACUUUUUCUUCCUUUAGUGAAACAGUUGAGGCUCUCAGGUUAUAAAGUAUCCAGGGACAUUUCAGUUAUGGCGGGAAAUGGAAAGGUCUAAAAGCAAUGUGAGAACUCAUGCUGUCAAGGUUCCCACAUGGUAGUCAACCCUGUCUGUGGUCUCAAGUGAUGUCUGAGUAUCUGGAGGGAUAGGCAGGCAAACUGAGCACUGCUAUCCUUGCCUUUCAGACGGUUAUGUCCAAAGAGACGGAAGCUGUCAGCACUGAAUCAGUUCCUCAACGAUUAGUAACUUAAGAGUGUGGAUGGUACCAAGAGCUUAGCCAAGUAGUUGGUCUUAGGCCCCUGGGUCAUAACUGUCCUCCCAGAAUGGACCCAUCUCUGGGAGAUAAAUGAAAAUGCCACAUAGAUAUAAAGAAUGCCCAGAAAAGAGCUGGAGGCAAACUUGAGCAGUUUAUGGGAUUGCAACAGUGCCAGCUCUCACUCAGGUACCACAUCACCACGUUGACCUCUCCAUGUGGAUCCUAAGUCCUUCACCCUGCCUACCCUUUUAGUUGCUGACAUUCAACUGAACCUCAGAACAAUAUAUUUUUCAUUUGUCUUUAGCAGUUUUAUUGAGAUACAAUAUAUAUACCUUAUAAUUCAUUCAUUUAAGUGUAGAAUUCAAUGUGCUUAGCAUAUGACAUUAUUAAUUUUAAGAAAGUUAUAGUAAGACAGUAUAUAUUAGCCUAAAAUUUGCUGUUUGAGGGAGGUAUUUUAAGUGUCUACUUCAAUGAUAUUAACUGUAUUCACAAUGUUGUACAAUCAUCAUCACUAUUUCCAAAAAUUGUUUUAUAACUCCAAACAGAAACUCUGUACCCGUGAAGCAUUAAUUAACUCUUCAUUCCUCACUCUCCUUAGUCUUUGGUGACUUCUAAUCUACUUUCUGUUUCUAUGAGUUUGCCUAAUCUAUAAAUUUCAUGUAAUUGGAAUUAUAUAAUAUUUUUUGUGUCUGGGUUAUUUUAGUUAUUUUACUUAGCCUAAUGUUUUCAAGGCUCAUAAUGUUGGAGCAUGCAUUAGAACUUCAUUCCUUUUUAUGGCUGAAUAAUAUUCCAUCUUUUGUAUAUACUGGUCUUUGUUUAUCCAUUCAUCUAUUGAUGGACAUUUGGGUUGUUUUUAACUUUUUAUGUUGUGAAUAAUAUUGCCAUGAAUAUUGGUGUACAAAAUCAGGGCAAUCCAUUUUUAUAGUCAUUAUUCAAUUAUAAUAAGUAAAUCCAUAAACUUAACAGGUUAAGAUUUAAUAAUUCUCCCAAGGUCAUUGAAGAAGUCAUAGCCCAGAAAAGUAUCUAAAGACUAUACCCCCAUUGCACUCUAGUUUUCAAGACUGACUGACCUUUCUAGGUUAAAUAUAUAAUUAAAAGUUACCUGGGAACCUUUGGGACUAAAAUGAGUUGGAGUUCCAUGUGCUACAGUGGUAUGACAUAUAGUGGAAACCUGCAUUAAUGUAAUUGAAUAGCUGGCCAAGUAGGUUGGGAGAAGCCACUUCUAAAUCAGUAUGUAUAAUUGGCUGCUAUGUAUGGUUUUAAUAAUGUAAAAAUACUACACACUUGAAAUCACUGGAUCAAAACAUCAGCAUAGUACUUUCAAUAUUUGCAAUAUCCAGGUUUUAUAAAACAAAGGUUGACUGCUAGCUUUUAAUCAGUUGUAAGUAGAGCCUAAAAGGGAUUAAGAGUAUGAGAACUGUGAAGGCUACAUUUAAUUCUCAUUCAUGUGCUUUUCUCACUAGUGUAAGAUGCAGAAUAUUAUGGCAGAAGUGAAUGACAUGGGCUAGCUGUGGCAGGGCCAUUAUCUUUGUAUAGUUUUCUCUUCCUAUGGCCUAAUCAGAGUUCAUAUAUUAAUAAGGAAACAAAAUCAGAAGUUGACACUUUAAAGGAAGGAGAAACAGGGAAAAGCACAAUUUAAAUGUAAUGCCACUUUAACAUCAAAUGAAUGGAUUGCAGAAAUCAACACAA